rnacentral:sRNA from 1 species
UGCCAAAAGGAAUUGGGUGCAAAAUGG